GACGAACGCUGGCGGCGUGCUUAACACAUGCAAGUCGAACGGAAAGGCCCUGCUUUUGUGGGGUGCUCGAGUGGCGAACGGGUGAGUAACACGUGAGUAACCUGCCCUUGACUUUGGGAUAACUUCAGGAAACUGGGGCUAAUACCGGAUAGGAGCUCCUGCUGCAUGGUGGGGGUUGGAAAGUUUCGGCGGUUGGGGUUGGACUCGCGGCUUAUCAGCUUGUUGGUGGGUUAGGGCUUACCAAGACUUUGACGGGUAGCCGGCCUGAGAGGGUGACCGGCCACAUUGGGACUGAGAUACGGCCCAGACUCCUACGGGAGGCAGCAGUGGGGAAUAUUGCACAAUGGGCGGAAGCCUGAUGCAGCAACGCCGCGUGCGGGAUGACGGCCUUCGGGUUGUAAACCGCUUUCGCCUGUGACGAAGCGUGAGUGACGGUAAUGGGUAAAGAAGCACCGGCUAACUACGUG
rnacentral:rRNA from 1 species